GUAGGGAAUAUUGGGCAAUGGUCGGAAGACUGACCCAGCCAUGCCGCGUGCAGGAAGACGGCCCUCUGGGUUGUAAACUGCUUUUAUCUGGGAAGAAAAAGGCCAUGCGUGGCAAAUUGCCGGUACCAGAUGAAUAAGCACCGGCUAACUCCGUGCCAGCAGCCGCGGUAAUAUGGAGGGUGCGAGCGUUGUCCGGAUUUAUUGGGUGUAAAGGGUGCGUAGGCGGCUGAUUAAGUCAGCGGUGAAAGACUUCGGCUUAACCGGAGCAGUGCCGUUGAUACUGGUUGGCUUGAGUGUCGGAGGGGUACAUGGAAUUGAUGGUGUAGCGGUGAAAUGCAUAGAUACCAUCAGGAACACCGAUAGCGAAGGCAUUGUACUGGCCGACAACUGACGCUGAUGCACGAAAGUGUGGGGAUCGAACAGGAUUAGAAACCCGGGUAGUCC
rnacentral:rRNA from 1 species